GACGAACGCUGGCGGCGUGCCUAACACAUGCAAGUCGAACGGGACCAGGGGCAACUCUGGUUCAGUGGCGGACGGGUGCGUAACACGUGAGGAACAUGACCUUCGGCGGGGGAUAGCCGGCCCAACGGCCGGGUAAUACCGCGUACGACCACUUGGGGACAUCCUUGAGUGGUGAAAGCAGCAAUGCGCCGAUGAAGUGCCUCGCGGCCUAUCAGCUAGUUGGUGAGGAACGGCUCACCAAGGCGACGACGGGUAGCUGGUCUGAGAGGAUGGCCAGCCACAUUGGGACUGAGACACGGCCCAGACUCCUACGGGAGGCAGCAGUGGGGAAUAUUGCGCAAUGGACGAAAGUCUGACGCAGCGACGCCGC
rnacentral:rRNA from 1 species